rnacentral:rRNA from 1 species
AUUGAACGCUGGCGGCAGGCUUAACACAUGCAAGUCGAGCGAGCGGCGGACGGGUGAGUAAUGUCUGGGAAACUGCCUGAUGGAGGGGGAUAACUACUGGAAACGGUAGCUAAUACCGCAUACCAUCAGAUGUGCCCAGAUGGGAUUAGCUAGUAGGUGGGGUAAUGGCACACCGAGGCGACGAUCCCUAGCGGGUCUGAGAGGAUGACCAGCCACACUAGAACUGAGACACGGUCCAAACUCCUACGGGAGGCAGCAGUGGGGAAUGUUGCACAAUGGGCGCAAGACUGGUGCAGCCAUGCCGCGUGUGUGAAGAAGGCCUUAGGGUUGUAAAGCACUUUCAGCGAGAAGGCGUUACUCGCAGAAGAAGCACCGGCUAACUCCGUGCCAGCAGCAGCGGUAAUAC